ensembl:lncRNA TTTY14 testis expressed transcript, Y-linked 14
GCGCAGCCGAGUGGCGGGCUAGCAUACCGCCUGCCCGCAAUUCGGCCAGGCCUCGAGCCUGCUCCGCCUUCCCGCUGCGGUAGCGCCGCCGGGGAAACGCCGCCACGGGCUGCAUGGGCAGCGCUCGCGCCCCGCCGCUGAGCCGCCGGGGAGCCGUCCAGUCUUCGAAUCCCAGAAACACAAAGAUGGUGCAGACCCAGGCCCUGCUUUGACUGGGAGAAAGAUGCAUUCAGUUGACUAAAACUUGAACCACAGCAUGUUCCGAAGAGAUGAUUGGAAGAUGGAAGUGGAGGGUUAAAUAAUGAAAUGCAGCUAACAUUUCGGAAAGUUUCUAAAAGUUGUACAACAUGCCCUACAGCUACUCUUUAAAUCUCCAAAUCAAAUGAGUUUCAGGUGGAGCCUCUGGGAGGUGAUGAGGUCAUGAGAGUGGAGCCUCAUGAAUGGGAUGAGCACUCCUACAAAAAGGAUUCCAGAGAGCUCGCUUGCUCCUUCCACAGUGUGAGGACACAGAGGGAAGGCUCUGUCUAUGAAUGAGAAAGUGGGUCCCCACCAGACAUUGAAUCUGCCGCAUCUUGAUACUGGACUUCCAGUCUCCAGAACUGUGGGCAAUAAAUGUCUGUUGUUUAUUACCUGUCCAGUAUCUUUGGUAUUUUGCUAUAGCAACCCAAAUGGACUAAGAAAACACCAGAGGCCAUACCUAAUAAAAAUAUUGACAUCACAAUUUGUUGUAUCAGGUGACUGUUUUUCCACUAAAAUAGUUACUUUAAUUCACGAAUAGCCUGCCAACAGGACAUUGUUCAUCCACCUUGAAACGGCCAUUCAUCAACCAAGCAGGUUGUUGUUGUCAAUAGGGAGCUCUUCAAAGGGCAUUGCCCAUGUGACAGUGGGAUCCAGUAAUUCCUGAGGUGGUUCCAGACUACAUGCUAGAAAAUUCCCUACUACCUGCUCUUGAACAGGAUGAGCAACUCCUUGCACUUCCCUGGUUUGUGAUGAAGAAAUAAACAAUGCCCAGUUCCUGCCCUGGAGAAGCUCAUUGCAUAGAAAAAGGAAAAAGGCAGAUAUACAUGCCACAGUACAGUGCUGAGACAACAUAAAUCACAAGCAACCAAGUACAAAGUGAAUUAUACAGAAUCUGGUUUUCUUCUGUUUGGAUUUGAUACUGAGCUAUACUGGAUUCACUGACAAGAAGAGUUUGAAUUAGCAGCAUGCUGAGAAUGGACACAGUGUUUGAAGAGACUGAUAAAGAAAGUACAGGAGGAGUUUUAUUUUUGGAAGAAGAAAUGGUCCUUGGGCACAGACCCCAUAUGAGUUUUCCUUUCAGCGUUCUCUGCUCAGCUGUUCUCUGCUGUGGUGAGGCGCCUAUGCUUUGUAUAUGUCUGAAAUUAAUUGAAAAGCUAGUGACAGAUUCUGAUGUCAUUUGCCAUGAGCUUUAUUAUUGUGCAGGUAAUUUUGGAUCAAAUCACCCUAACGUUUUUCAACAAAGACUUUAGAAGAAAUAAAGCUGCAUUACUUUUUCUUGGCGCAUUCUUCCUUUAGGACCUAUAGUGAGGUUUUAAAUAGAGACAGAACUUGCCCUGUGGCCCACGUUGGAGUCCGCUGGCAUGAUCGUGAUCCACUGCAGCCUCAACUUCUUUGGGUUCAAAUGAACUUCCCACCUUAGCCACCUGAGCAUCUCGCCUAUCUGGACUCCACCUAUCCUCCCCUGUCAGCAUCUCACAGCAUAGGCAUGGGCCACCAGAACCAGCUUAUUUUUGUAUUUUUUUAAGCAGAAGAGAUCUUACCAUGUUGUGAAGACUGGUCUCGUACUUCUGGCUGAAGUGAUUUGUUCUCCUAAGCCUUCCAAAUUGGUGGGAUUACAUAUGUGAACCACCACACAAAGACUCCUACUGGUAUAUUUAGAAGGAUAUAAGUAUGCCGGUUUUUGGAUGCAUGCAUGGAGAAGACCCCAAAGCUUUUCACUUUUCCCUGAGUUUGGGCUAAACACUAGAGUUCCUCAAAGAGUCCAUAUCCAAAGUCUGGGCAGUUUUUCUUUUCUUUCUUUUCCUUUUUUUUUUUCUUGGAUUGUUUUUAAAAAAUAUGUCGAGAAUAGUAGACCAUCAAAAAGGUGACAGAACACAGAUUAAGUGGAUAUACAACACAAAGAAUGCAGACCACAAAAAUAGCUCUGGAGGGUUGCUACACAAGUAAACAACCCACAAACUAAGGAAUUGUGGAUGUUAAGAAUUUGUUAUCCAAAUAUGCUGAAUACUAUCCAAUAUUUCAAUUCACUUCAUUUUACUAUUCUCAAAGACCUAAGGGAACCCAGGAGUACAGUGAUUCAAAACUGAAAAUACCAGUAAAGACAUACAGAUUAUUUUAAAAAUGAAAUCAAUAACCUUGAAGUUACUAGGAAGCUGUGUGAUUGAAAGUCAGUCACUCAAUCACAUGAUCCUGGGAUUUUCCUCUACAUGUGGGACUACCCAUACCUUGCAGCAUUGCUGUGAGUUCACCUGAGCAAGACACCUGCACAUGGUGGUGCUCAGGAAAUGUUAAUUUCCCUUUAUUGAAAUGGAACAACCCAUGGGUAUUAUGUCUUGAGGUCUGGAUUACAGUUGAGCAAGAUACAGAAGACGUUGUAAACCCUGAGGAGGCAUCACUGAUCACUGGGAGUCUGGAAAGGCAGCAGAGAAAAAGUGACCUGCAGCUGGAAAUGGCCAAUGGGUCUGUUACAGGAAGUUACACAGGCAUGAGUGGGGCAGAAGAGAGUUCUCCCAUCCACCUACCAGGAAUGUCAGGCCAUCGGGUAAUGGUUGGACAGUUAUCACAUUGCUUUUCUAAAAAUAAUAAUUUAGCAGCAGAGCCAGGGAUAGACAAGUUCCUACUGAUACACAGCUGGUAACAUUAAAGUGUUAACUAAAGUCACACUCCCGGGAGGGGGAAAAAGGGCUUCUAGUAAAAUUUUACAUACUGGGUGAGUGAACUGAGACAUGCACAUUAAGAGACGAAAUGGUACAGCAUGACUUUCUGGGGUCACUCCACCAAAAAAAGGGAGGAAGCUUCAGAUGGGCAUGCAUAUAAAUGCUCAAACACACUGCCUAUGCUCACUUCUCAAGGGUAAGGAGGGCACUGUGCCUGCUGGCAGCCCACACUUAGGAAAGAAUCAUGGAAAAAGGUGCACCAGAUGCUCAAGGUGGGCCAGCCUAUAAAGUCCCAGAAUGAAGAGAAAUGGCCACACUUGUUCUUCAAGUCACCCACUUGGAUCUCUUCCAAGUGCACUUUUCAUUCUUUCCUGCUCUAAAGCUUUUUAAUAAAUGUCCACUCCUGCUGUGAAACUUGCCUCAGGAUUUUUUUUCCUUCUUUAUGCCCAUCAGUUGAACUCUUUCACCUGAGGAGGCAAGAACUGACAUUGCUAAAGACGCAGAUGGAUUUGCUGCCAGUAACUCCGAUACUUUCCACCAGUAACAGAUCUAGGAGCUGGUGGACAUAGUUGCUGAAGCAUGUGUCCAGAAUGUUUCUGCCCAGGCCACAAGCAGUCCUGCACUGUAAAGGGACUUGAACCCCAAGCUCAGGGGACACCAUGGAAAGAGACUUCAGCCCGCUGAUGGAAUACUGGAGAUAGGAAUUUUUUAUUGAGGUAUAAUUCCCAUAAUAUGUUAACUGUUUUUUAAGGUAUAAUUCAGUGACACAGGAAUGUGCAUGUUCUACCACUUCUUAAUUCCAAAUUAUUUUCAUCAUCUCAAAAGGAAAUCCCCUACCUAUUAAGGAGCUACUACCCAAUCUGUCCUCUUUCUGACUCCUGACAAUUAACAAUCUGUUUUCUUUCUCUGUGAAAUUAUUUAUUUUGGAUAUGUUUAUAAAUAA